UACGUAGGGGGCUAGCGUUGUCCGGAAUCAUUGGGCGUAAAGCGCGUGUAGGCGGUUCGGUAAGUCCGCUGUGAAAGUCGGGGGCUCAACCCUCGAAUGCCGGUGGAUACUGUCGGGCUAGAGUGCGGAAGAGGCGAGUGGAAUUCCUGGUGUAGCGGUGAAAUGCGCAGAUAUCAGGAGGAACACCUAUUGCGAAGGCAGCUCGCUGAGACGUAACUGACGCUGAGACGCGAAAGCGUGGGGAGCAAACAGG
rnacentral:rRNA from 1 species